rnacentral:rRNA from 1 species
ACUCAAAUGAAUUGACGGGGGCCCGCACAAGCGGUGGAGCAUGUGGUUUAAUUCGACGCAACGCGAAGAACCUUACCUGGGCUCGAACGGCUGACGCAAGCCGGUAGAAAUACUGGUCCUCCCGCAAGGGACGUUAGUCGAGGUGCUGCAUGGCUGUCGUCAGCUCGUGUCGUGAGAUGUUGGGUUAAGUCCCGCAACGAGCGCAACCCUUGUCCUGUGUUGCUAAUCCGUAAGGAUGCACUCUCAGGAGACCGCCAGCGAUAAGCUGGAGGAAGGUGGGGAUGACGUCAAGUCAUCAUGGCCUUUAUGUCCAGGGCUACACACGUGCUACAAUGGACGGUACAAAACGCUGCUAACCCGCGAGGGGGAGCUAAUCGCUAAAAACCGUUCUCAGUUCGGAUCGCAGGCUGCAACUCGCCUGCGUGAAGCUGGAAUCGCUAGUAAUGGUAUAUCAGAAUGAUACCGUGAAUACGUUCCCGGGCCUUGCACACACCGCCCGU